rnacentral:rRNA from 1 species
GAUGAACGCUGGCGGCGUGCCUAAUACAUGCAAGUCGAGCGAACGGACGAGAAUCUUGCUUCUCUGAUGUUAGCGGCGGACGGGUGAGUAACACGUGGCUAACCUACCUAUAAGACUGGGAUAACUUCGGGAAACCGGAGCUAAUACCGGAUGAUAUUUUGAACCGCAUGGUUCAACAGUGAAUGACGGUCUUGCUGUCACUUAUAGAUGGAUCCGCGCUGCAUUAGCUAGUUGGUAAGGUAACGGCUUACCAAGGCAACGAUGCAUAGCCGACCUGAGAGGGUGAUCGGCCACACUGGAAAUGAGACACGGUCCAGAAUCCUAAGGGAGGCAGCAGUAGGGAAUAUUCCGCAAUGGGCGAAAGCCUGACGGAGCAAAGCCGCGUGAGUGAUGAAGGUCUUCGGAUCGUAAAACUCUGUUAUUAGGGAAGAACAUAUGUGUAAGUAACUGUGCACAUCUUGACGGUACCUAAUCAGAAAGCCACGGCUAACUACGUG